AGAGCGAACGCUGGCGGCGUGCUUAACACAUGCAAGUCGAACGCGCAGCAUUCUGUAGCAAUACAGGGUGUGGGCGCGUGGCGAACGGGUGAGUAACACGUGACUAACCUACCUUCGAGUGGGGGAUAACCUCGGGAAACCGGGGCUAAUACCGCAUAACAUCUUUGAAGUGGAAAUUUCGGAGAUCAAAGGGGCAAUUCGCUUGAAGAGGGGGUCGCGGCUGAUUAGCUAGUUGGCGGGUAACGGCCCACCAAGGCUUAGAUCGGUAGCCGGCCUGAGAGGGCGCACGGCCACACUGGAACUGAAACACGGUCCAGACUCCUACGGGAGGCAGCAGUGGGGAAUUUUGCGCAAUGGGGGAAACCCUGACGCAGCAACGCCGCGUGGAGGAUGAAGUCCCUUGGGACGUAAACUCCUUUCGACCCGGACGAUAAUGACGGUACGGGUGGAAGAAGCCCCGGCUAACUUCGUGCCAGCAGCCGC
rnacentral:rRNA from 1 species